rnacentral:rRNA from 1 species
UAGGGAAUAUUAGAAAUGGACGAAAGUCUGAUCUAGCAACACCGCGUGUGCGAUGAAGGCCUUCGGGUUGUAAAGCACUUUUUGGAAGGAUUAGGAAGGAAUGUACUUCCAGAAUAAGUCUCGGCUAACUACGUGCCAGCAGCCGCGGUAACACGUAGGAGGCGAACGUUAUCCGGAUUUACUGGGCGUAAAGCGCGUGUAGGUGGUUCUGUAAGUAGGGCGUGAAAGCUCCUGGCUCAACUGGGAGAGGCCGUUCUAAACUGCAGAGAUGAAGGAGGGUAGAGGGAGGUGGAAUUCCGGGUGUAGCGGUGGAAUGCUCAGAUAUCCGGAGGAACACCAGUGGCGAAGGGGGACUCCUGGACGAUUCCUGACACUUAGAUGCGAAAACUAGGGUAGCAAA